GCUUGUGAUCACAAUGAUUUUGAAAAGCUAAUUAGAAGAAUCUUCUUUCUUCCCCUAGACCUGAUUUAAAUAGCACACUGGCUCUUAUUCCACAUCCUUCUGCUUCUACGGUAUGUAUACUAUACACCUUGGUACAUGACAUAAACACUUAAGAAGAAAAACAAUUCUCAACAUCAGAGUUGACUUAUACAAUGUCCUGACUUUACUGCUUUGCUCCCAUCCCUGAAGCUGGCAAUAGCCCCCACACCCUUCCCACGCCUGAGGCCUCCUGGUUAUAAGAAGCACUGAGAAGGCAGCAUGGGGAAGGUGAUUGUUAGCCAUUCUCCACCAGUGGCUGCAGGAAUUCAACAAGGAAGACCUCAAGUUGACCUAAUUACUUAUAUUUUCUUCAUGUCUUGGAAUAUUACUCCAUAGAUCUUAAAUGUAAAAGUACACAUAGCAAUUAUCCCAAACAUAACUCCAAUUGCACAAAUAUUCCUAAAACUCCUGGAAUACAUAACCAUCGGGUCCCUCUUAAGCAGAAUUCAUACAGGACCACUGCAGGGCUCAACAAUGGCCAAGAAAACAGAAUGGGACAGAAUCAUAAUAUAACAUCUGGGUGUAGCUUUCUGCCUCUAGAAUUAAACUGUGCCUGCCCUUCAAACACCCAUACUUGAGAAGUUUAAGAAAUAGCCUUAAUUUUCACAUAUCAGGAGAGGGAUAUCUUUACGUUUAUUACUAAAUUUCUGGCCAUAUUUCAUGUAAUAUAUUAAUUAACUUAAUGACAGA
rnacentral:lncRNA from 1 species